UAAAAACAUAAAAAUAAAUCUUAAUCUAACUGCCCUUACACCAGUUUGUAUAAGGAAAGAUUCCAAGAGUGAGGUCAGUACAAUAAACAAAUUAUACAAUUCGAUUUAGGCCUAUGUGUUAGAUUCUUUUACUUUCCCUUUUUUCUACAUCGUGGAAUAAUAAUGUUUCGCAAUAAUUGCACCGAAUAUUUUUUCAUAUUAACAAUAUGUCACUGUUAUAAUCUGCUAAAUUUCAAAUUUUAUUUAAUUGGAAUUUAAGUUAUUCACAUUAACAAAAAGGCAUCGACAAACAUACUUUUCGCUAUCAAAUGUAGAUAUGAAAGAAAACUGAGCUUCAAUUAGAGGGUUUAUAAUUUCAAAACUUUGAAAACCAACAUAGCCACCGUUUAAGUUAAUUUAUCUUUUAAAGAGAAAAUUUCUCUCUGGUUACAAAAAAGUAACUGAAACUUAUUCAACAGGGGACAACAAAGCUGUCUUAGUCCUAAAACUUGUAAAUAAAAAAACCAAUCCAGAACUAAGGCCGUUCUGUAAAAAUCCCCCCAAAAAACCCGACAUGCUUUUUGACCUUAAGCCAGACGAAAAAAUAAUUCAAUGAAUAUGUGAAUCGAAUGCAC
rnacentral:lncRNA from 1 species